AGAGUUUGAUCAUGGCUCAGGAUGAACGCUAGCUACAGGCUUAACACAUGCAAGUCGAGGGGCAGCAUGUUGGUUGCUUGCAACCAAUGAUGGCGACCGGCGCACGGGUGAGUAACGCGUAUCCAACCUACCCUUGUCCAUCGGAUAACCCGUCGAAAGGCGGCCUAACACGAUAUGCGGUUNACCCCCAGCAGGCAUCUAAGGUGAACGAAAUGUGAAGGAGAAGGAUGGGGAUGCGUCUGAUUAGCUUGUUGGCGGGGUAACGGCCCACCAAGGCUACGAUCAGUAGGGGUUCUGAGAGGAAGGUCCCCCACAUUGGAACUGAGACACGGUCCAAACUCCUACGGGAGGCA
rnacentral:rRNA from 1 species